rnacentral:rRNA from 1 species
ACAGGUGCUGCAUGGCUGUCGUCAGCUCGUGUCGUGAGAUGUUGGGUUAAGUCCCGCAACGAGCGCAACCCUGCCUUUAGUUGCCAGCAGUUCGGCUGGGCACUCUAAAGGGACUGCCGGUGUUAAACCGGAGGAAGGUGGGGAUGACGUCAAGUCCUCAUGGCCUUUAUGACCAGGGCUACACACGUACUACAAUGGCCGAUACAAAGGGCAGCGACACUGCGAGGUGAAGCCAAUCCCGUAAAAUCGGUCUCAGUCCGGAUUGGAGUCUGCAACUCGACUCCAUGAAGUUGGAAUCGCUAGUAAUCGUGGAUCAGCAUGCCACGGUGAAUACGUUCCCGGGCCUU